UGAUAAAAGAUACCAACAUUCAAUGUAUUAACAUUCAUGAUCAGAAUUAAUAACUAAUGACUGUAGAAACUGUUGACUGUUAACUUCAGUGUUGACAUUUGACCAAAGCUUAAAACCUAAAAGCUUACCUUUUUAUAAAAAUAUCACAUUUAAAGAAAGAAAGAAAGAAAAAAAAAAAAAACAUUUAUGUCAGUAUAUUAAACAAUGUAUAUAAUAAUGCAUGAAUAAACAAUUUAAUUUAUUUUAUUUGAUAAUCCAACUUUACUUUAUUUGUACUAUUGUUAUUUGAAAUGUAAUUUACUUAUUUUGCGGUGCGUUGCCAGUAUAUGCCAGUAAUGCACAGUUUUAGUCAUGGCAAUAAAAGCACACUAUAUUGAAUUGAAAUGGAGAGAGAGUGUAAUGGGGGCGGGUGGCAGAAAAAAGAAAAGUGUGUGUGUGUGAGAGAGAGAGAGAGAGAGAGAGCGCGCGCAAGCAUUCAGGAACGAGGUGAAUUGCAUCGUGAUUUCAUCCGAGUGCAGCUGAGAGACACACUGGAGUCCAAACGGGCUUUUUCUAUUUGCAAACGCUUGUUUCCGAGGCUUUUCCUCUCGCCAUCGUCCUCGUGCAGCGUUUCAGUGUUUUCUGUCUCACCACAUGAGUUGGAUUUUAAUACAGUGAAGCCUCAUGGAAUCAGACGCCGGACGGGUUUGGUCUCCAGCUGGAUUAAAAGCAUCGUUCAGUCAGAUGAGCGGCGCGGACAGACAUUGAGAGCUGAGGUUGUGUCAGAAGAGCAGGCGAGGAUGAAACUGAAGCCCUGUAAAAGAGAUUCCCCCUGGGGGAGCCAUAGACAUAUGUGGAGCCCCUGGAGCCACUGACCCUAUGUCUGGAUAAUCUAUGGAUGGAGACCACCAGCCCUCAUAAAACAAUCUUCUACUGCUGAGCAAUUCCACAUUGGCAGACGCAAACAAAUGUUGCUAUGUAAUUGUUGAGUAUCUACAGUCUGAACAUUCCUAUACUCCCAUUUUCUCAAAUCUUACUCUUACAAGAAAAAGGACCUAACACAACCGUACUUAGCCCAAAGAACUUUGACCAACAAUCCAGCAAAUGCAUGCAAAGCUUCCAGAAAAACCCAUGUAUCCUCACAGCACCCUCCAAUCGCAUGACCAUGAAAGAGGAAAGUUAUGGCAUCUCAUUGAGAAUGCUGAGGUCGGGCAUGCAUGCCGUUUAAAAGGAUCAAUACAACCUCACUGAUUAAUGGGCAGAUUUCACUUUCAUUUAGUGUGCUAGGGAAGAAUCAUCCACCAAGACCAAGACUGUCUUCAGUUUAUAAGAGUUGCACUUCAAAUGACAGCCCCUCCAACCAGCAAACUUUGACCCUGCGGAUUAAUAGGCAGAUUUCUCUUCCAUUUAGUGAACUGAGAAAGAAUCAUUUGCCAAGACCAAGGCUGUGAAACAGGUCUCUUUGGUUUUCAAGAGUUGCAUGUCCAUUGGAAAGCAAUUCUGCUCUGGACCUUUUUUUUUUUUUUCAUUUAACGCUAUAUAUUCAUAUUUACAAUCAGUUCAUCCCUUAUAAAGCAGUGAAUCAAACUAUCAUUGGCUUUUUUUCCCUGUAAAAUAAGUUAUUUUUACUUUGUUCCUGGGUCAAGUUUACAAAAUAUUGGAAAUGCAAAUGCCUUCAAAGUUAGCAGAGCUGGGUUGAAAAGGCAACUGCUCCAACCAGCACAGUAAAACUUUUGACCCUGCUGAUUAAUGGGUGGAUUUCUUUUCCAUUUAGUGCACCAGGGAAGAAUUAUCUGCCAAGACCAAGACUGUGAAAAAGGUUUCUUCGGUUUUCAAGAGUGCUAUUUCUUUUUAAAAAAAAGUGAUCCUGCUCUG
ensembl:lncRNA